GGAGCAAAUUCAGGACCUGACCCAUAAGAACUGGUGGAGAAUCAUCUGUUGAAUAGAUGCUGAAUGUUUGUGCCUCUCUGCUCUCCAACAAGAUGUCAUGCUCCUUGAUGACGAGAGCCACCGCUGAUCUCCUAUAUCCAGUCAACAUCUUCCAGAAAACAGACCAUCAAUAUGCAUUUGCAGCAUAUAUUGCAAAGACAAUGCCUAGAAGAGAGCAGCCACUUUGUGACCAUGAAGUUGGAGUCCGCACUACAGAAGAUCUGCCACUGAACAACGUGCACCUGGAAGAGGAGACAGAACACGUAAUCCUAAGAGAAAAAGGAAGGGAAGGGCUGAGCCACGCACGCCCUGUUCCUUCUUUCACAUUUUUCACUGAGGAAGAGCAAGUGAUAAGUGCUUUUCUUCAGCCAAGCCAGAGGACCAUGGACUCUGUUGGUGUAGCCCAGAGGCAUGAGUCUCCCAAGACAUGGUAAAGGCUCGAGGGUCAAUUUGGAGGAAAAAACGGAAAACAGGAGGGACAGCAAUAGAAUCUGCUUAUACUAUAAAAUUGCAUGCAGAACAUUUUGUGUCUCAGGAUCUCUGUGUUUUGUUCCUGUGGCAACCAGCUGUGAGAUGAUAUACCUUCAGAACAGAGAGAUGGAGCGAAACUUCAUCCCAUGGGAAUGCAUCUCCUUUUUGCUCCACAGAGCCCCAUCCAUCAUUUUCGCAUUGCAGAGACCCAGCUGAUGCAGGCCCAGCAAGGGAAUGGAAGAUAUCAACAGUAAGAGUCUCUUUGUUGUCUUGGUAUGGAUACUUUUGGUUAUCUUGAUAAAUUAUCAUUUUGUCUGCUUCUUUAUGUAUUAUUUUUAUAAUUAUUUAUGUUAUAGUAAGAAUGUGACAAAAAAACAACAACAAAAGAUUGACUUCAACUCUCAAUCUAUAUUAAAAGCUCCAUUAAUUAGGCAACCUUUGGAAUGGAAAUAAGCAAAAUCCCUUUAUCAAUUGUGUCAUAUAUAUGGAAGGACUAGGUGCAUUAAUUAACUGUAUUUGGAGGUUAACAUCAGAUGAUAGUUUAUUUUUUCAAAUUCCAAUCCUUUUUGUUAUUUUUUUUUUGAGACAAGGUCUCUGUCACCCAGGUUCUGCCUCCUGGGUUCAAGUGAUUCUCCUGUCUCAGUCUCCUGAGUAGCUGGGAUUACAGAUGUAUGCCACCAUGCUCAGCUAAUUUUUGUAUUUUUAGUGGAGAUCGUGUUUUACCAGGUUGGCCAGGCUGGUCUCGACUUUCUGACUUCACGUCAUCAACCUGCCUUGGUAUCUCAAAGUACUGGGGUGCCCAGCCAUCAAAUUCCAAUCUUUUAAGGAUAAAGAAUACACUUGAUCAUUUUGGAAAGUGGGUGGAAUUUUAAGAUGGCCCCCAAGAUUCCCAUGUAAUUCCCAAGACUGCAUCUAUGAUGGGUUUUAUAUUGUCAUUAGGUUAGUUAUGUGAAACCGUUAAAAUUAAGAAAAUGAGAUUAUCUUAGGUAGACUUAACCUAUUUAGAUGACCUGGGCUCUUCCUGAAGAGAGAGAUUUAAAAUGCAAAAGCGAUUCCAUGUGAAGUCUUUAUUAUUGGCUUGAAGAUGGAGGAGGCCACAUGACAAAGGCCUAAGGGUGGCCUCAGGAGCUGUGAGUGCCCCUUGGCCAGCAUCAAGGAAACAGAGACCUUAGUCCUAUAACCGCAAGGAACUGAAUUCUGUGACAAUCACUGGAGAAGGAUCUUGAACUUCAGUUAAGAAUGUGUUAGCCAGUGCCUUGAUUUUAGCCCAUGUGUAUCUGAGCAGAGAAUCCAGCCAUGGUGUACCCUACCUUCUGAUCUACAAGCUGUGAAAUAAUGCAUUAGCAUUGGUUUAAGCCACUGAGUUUGUGGUGAUUUAUUAUGGAGCAAUAGAAAAUGAAUAGAAGACCUCACCCAUUUUCUGUUGACAUUUGCGGCAGACGAAACCACAGGAGGAGAGGCAAUGUAAGUGGCAAUCAAGAGCUCUAAUUCCAGAAUCCUAGACCCAGGUUUGUGGUUCAGUUCUACCCAAUUACAAACUAUAUGCAUUCUGCCAAAUGCAAAACCUCAGUUUUCUCACCUGCACAAAGAAAAAUCAUUAUUGGUUUCUCUUAGAAUUGUUGAGAGGCUUAUAUGAUAUAAUAAAAGUAAAGAACUAAGAAUUGUGGCUGGCCCAUGUAAGAGCUAUAAGUGUUAACUAUGAUUAUCUGGGGAAAAAAGGACUAGAACAUUGAUUUUGAGAGCUUGAAAAUAGGAGGGCUCAUUAAUCAACCAAUAAUCAUAUACUUUUGGCAGUUUAACGAUAUAUUAGUAUUUUUUAAUCCCAUGUAAUCAUCAUUACCCCAUGAAGAAGAUAUUAUUAACAUUAUUUCUUUUCAACCUUUUGUUUUGAAAUAAUUAUAGGCUCACAUAAAGUUGCAAAAAUAAUACAAAGAGGCCCCAUAUACCCUUCCUUCAGCUAAAGAUGACAUCUUACAUCACUGUAGCACAUUAUCAAAACUAGGAAACGGACAUUGGUACAAUACAGUUAUCUAGACUACAGACCUUAUUCACCUUACUCAAGUCUCACUGGUAAUGACUUCAUUUUGCAGAUGAGAAAACAGGUUUACCUCAACUGCUGAUUUCAAUUGCCCCUUGAAAGUUGUGGUCAAAUUACGUGGAUUUAUGUUAUGAAAUGUUUAUCUCUGUUGCCUAUUUGUGCUUUGUGACAGAUGAGUGUGGAAAAAUGUAGCACCACUUGACCACUCUAAUGAAAACUCAACUGUACUUAAAAUUCCAAAAUUUUAUUUCUGACAAGAAACAUGUAUUUUUUUCAGGGAAAGAAAGAUUAUAUUUUUGAUCUUGACCGUGUGAGGGCAAGCUGACAUUGGAUGUUGACAAGAUCACAAUAACCCAGAUAGAUGCACAACAAUUGGUGCCCUGGUACCAAAUUCCAGUGCCCAUAAAUAUCUGCAAAAUAGUCUCAAUUUUUUUUAGUUAUCACCAAAGGCAGGGAUUCUCAUAUGAAAGAAAGCUGAAAGUAACCUAGGAAUCAAUUCCUUAAGAUCUAGGUAAAACUGGCUUGAAUCUCUGCCAGUUAGUCUGUGGGAGUUUUUAAGAUUUCAGUGAGUUCUUUGAAGGGAUUAUAUCCCCUUCCCCUGGUUUGCCUCUAGGAAUUUUAUUCUGACAUAGUAUAAUUUUAUAUUAAUAAAUAUAG